rnacentral:rRNA from 1 species
UUUAUGGAGAGUUUGAUCCUGGCUCAGGAUGAACGCUGGCGGCGUGCCUAAUACAUGCAAGUCGAGCGAACGGACGAGAAGCUUGCUUCUCUGAUGUUAGCGGCGGACGGGUGAGUAACACGUGGAUAACCUACCUAUAAGACUGGGAUAACUUCGGGAAACCGGAGCUANUANNGNNNGNGNAUUUUGAACCGCAUGGUUCAAAAGUGAAAGACGGUCUUGCUGUCACUUAUAGAUGGAUCCGCGCUGCAUUAGCUAGUUGGUAAGGUAACGGCUUACCAAGGCAACGAUGCAUAGCCGACCUGAGAGGGUGAUCGGCCACACUGGAACUGAGACACGGUCCAGACUCCUACGGGAGGCAGCAGUAGGGAAUCUUCCGCAAUGGGCGAAAGCCUGACGGAGCAACGCCGCGUGAGUGAUGAAGGUCUUCGGAUCGUAAAACUCUGUUAUUAGGGAAGAACAUAUGUGUAAGUAACUGUGCACAUCUUGACGGUACCUAAUCAGAAAGCCACGGCUAACUACGUGCCAGCAGCCGCGGUAAUACGUAGGUGGCAAGCGUUAUCCGGAAUUAUUGGGCGUAAAGCGCGCGUAGGCGGUUUUUUAAGUCUGAUGUGAAAGCCCACGGCUCAACCGUGGAGGGUCAUUGGAAACUGGAAAACUUGAGUGCAGAAGAGGAAAGUGGAAUUCCAUGUGUAGCGGUGAAAUGCGCAGAGAUAUGGAGGAACACCAGUGGCGAAGGCGACUUUCUGGUCUGUAACUGACGCUGAUGUGCGAAAGCGUGGGGAUCAAACAGGAUUAGAUACCCUGGUAGUCCACGCCGUAAACGAUGAGUGCUAAGUGUUAGGGGGUUUCCGCCCCUUAGUGCUGCAGCUAACGCAUUAAGCACUCCGCCUGGGGAGUACGACCGCAAGGUUGAAACUCAAAGGAAUUGACGGGGACCCGCACAAGCGGUGGAGCAUGUGGUUUAAUUCGAAGCAACGCGAAGAACCUUACCAAAUCUUGACAUCCUUUGACAACUCUAGAGAUAGAGCCUUCCCCUUCGGGGGACAAAGUGACAGGUGGUGCAUGGUUGUCGUCAGCUCGUGUCGUGAGAUGUUGGGUUAAGUCCCGCAACGAGCGCAACCCUUAAGCUUAGUUGCCAUCAUUAAGUUGGGCACUCUAAGUUGACUGCCGGUGACAAACCGGAGGAAGGUGGGGAUGACGUCAAAUCAUCAUGCCCCUUAUGAUUUGGGCUACACACGUGCUACAAUGGACAAUACAAAGGGCAGCGAAACCGCGAGGUCAAGCAAAUCCCAUAAAGUUGUUCUCAGUUCGGAUUGUAGUCUGCAACUCGACUACAUGAAGCUGGAAUCGCUAGUAAUCGUAGAUCAGCAUGCUACGGUGAAUACGUUCCCGGGUCUUGUACACACCGCCCGUCACACCACGAGAGUUUGUAACACCCGAAGCCGGUGGAGUAACCUUUUAGGAGCUAGCCGUCGAAGGUGGGACAAAUGAUUGGGGUGAAGUCGUAACAAGGUAGCCGUAUCGGAAGGUGCGGCUGGAUCACCUCCUUU